UUUAUUUAGGAGUUUCUGUACUUGAUCUGGAAAGGAGCUAUAAGCGUGAAACAGAGUUUAUAAGCCCUAGCUGAACGAUUACAUUUUUAUUCCCCCUUUUGUUGCGCUUGCUCUCUUCCCUCCCACCUGCGAUUCCCUUUUCCCUCUCCCUCUUCAGUGGCGACUCCUUUUUCUUCUUCACCGGCGACGAUUCCGUCUCUCACUUCCUUUCCCUCUUCCUCUCCACUACCCACAUAUACAUACACAACGAGGAAAAGAAUGGAGGAUUUGGGCGCGAGGAGGUGAAUGGAGAAGGCUUGAUUUGGGCGUAAGGAGGCGUAAGGAGGAGGCUUGAUUUGGGUUUGAUUUGGGUUUGAUUUGGUUAUUUGGUAAGUUACUCUCACACCCACUGUUAUACUCGCACACAUACACCCACCCACUGCUAUACUCACACACACACAUUAUCACACACAGACCACAGUAUACAUACACCCACUGUCAAUUAAUUGUCUGUAUGUGUUCAUAUGUACAUAUGGUGGAUAUCAAGAUUUUGCCACUUGUAUCUGCUUUGUUAAUUAGAUUUUCUUAAAAUCAUUAACAUGGCAUUGAGUUAUUUAGAUAUGUCCAAGCAGGUGAAUAUCAUGAUUUUAUUUACCAAAUUAUGUUGUUGAUAAGGUCCAUUCAGGCUAAUUUAAUGUGGUUAUAUAUUCAGAAUGGCAUGUAUCAUCAAGUUUAUAUUCUAAAAUUGGGCUUGCUCUGUUGAAUGUUGUAUCUUUUAUUGAUUCAUCAUUACAAAUGCUAGCUUGACGUACGUUGUGUUGAAUUUGCAGCAAGAAUACUAGCAUUGCUUAUCUUGUUUUGCCCUGCCCAUUGAAUGAAUGCUAGAUCUCUUAAUACUUUGACCAAUUUAAUUUCCACUAGCAAGGGAUAUGCUAGAUGAAUUUUCCCUUUAUAUUUAUUAAUAUGAUCCAGUUUUAAAUUCAAGUGAUAUGUGUAUAAAUGCAGCCUUUAUUAUC
rnacentral:lncRNA from 1 species